rnacentral:rRNA from 1 species
AUCGAUGAACGCAGCGAAAUGCGAUAAGUAAUAUGAAUUGCAGAUAUUCGUGAAUCAUCGAAUCUUUGAACGCACAUUGCGCCCUUUGGUAUUCCAAAGGGCAUGCCUGUUUGAGCCUCAUUUCUCCCUCAAACCCUCGGGUUUGGUGUUGAGCGAUACGCUGGGUUUGCUUGAAAGAAAGGCGGAGUAUAAACUAAUGGAUAGGUUUUUUCCACUCAUUGGUACAAACUCCAAAACUUCUUCCAAAUUCGACCUCAAAUCAGUAGGACUACCCGCUGAACUUAAGCAUAUCAAUAAGCGGAGGAAAAG